rnacentral:rRNA from 1 species
AUUGAACGCUGGCGGCAUGCUUUACACAUGCAAGUCGAACGGCAGCGCGGGCUUCGGCCUGGCGGCGAGUGGCGAACGGGUGAGUAAUGCAUCGGAACGUGCCCAGUAGUGGGGGAUAGCCCAGCGAAAGCCGGAUUAAUACCGCAUACGACCUGAGGGUGAAAGCGGGGGACCGAAAGGCCUCGCGCUAUUGGAGCGGCCGAUGUCGGAUUAGCUAGUUGGUGGGGUAAAGGCUUACCAAGGCGACGAUCCGUAGCUGGUCUGAGAGGACGACCAGCCACAUUGGGACGGAGACACGGCCCAGACUCCUACGGGAGGCAGCAGUGGGGAAUUUUGGACAAUGGGGGCAACCCUGAUCCAGCCAUGCCGCGUGCGGGAAGAAGGCCUUCGGGUUGUAAACCGCUUUUGUUCGGGAAGAAAUCCUCUGGGCUAAUACCCCGGGGGGAUGACGUUACCGGAAGAAUAAGCACCGGCUAACUACGUG